rnacentral:rRNA from 1 species
AUUGAACGCUGGCGGCAGGCCUAACACAUGCAAGUCGAACGAGUGGCGGACGGGUGAGUAAUGUCUGGGAAACUGCCCGAUGGAGGGGGAUAACUACUGGAAACGGUAGCUAAUACCGCAUACCAUCGGAUGUGCCCUGAGGGGAUUAGCUAGUAGGUGGGGUAACGGCUCACCUAGGCGACGAUCCCUAGCUGGUCUGAGAGGAUGACCCGCCACACUGGAACUGAGACACGGUCCAGACUCCUACGGGAGGCAGCAGGGGGGAAUCUGGCACAAUGGGCGAAAGCCUGAUGCAGCCAUGCCGCGUGUAUGAAGAAGGCUUUCGGGUUGUAAAGUACUUUCAGCGGGGAGGCGGUACUCGCAGAAGAAGCACCGGCUAACUCCGUGCCAGCAGCCGCGGUAAUAC